rnacentral:lncRNA from 1 species
AAUUUAUUGGAAAAGAAGGUAGUAUUUUUGCGACAAUUUGCUUCUUAACAAGAACGUGAUGAUGAGCGGGGAAAAUAUUGGAAUAUAUUUAUAGGUCUGAUUUUUGUUAAUUAAUAUAUGACAAGGUAUAUAUUUUUGAUUAACAAAAUAUAUGAAAAGGGUGGGGUACUUGAGGUCUCAGCUGCUCACCCCUACCAAAAAAAGUUUGAAGUGGCCCCCCCGAGG